rfam:Gossypium arboreum cultivar AKA8401 contig_13743_5, whole genome shotgun sequence.
CCUGGGGGAGCGUUUUGUCCAUGUCAGCAGAAAACGCUUCCUUGAGGGCGCGCUUUGCUAACAUGGACAAAACGCUCCCCCAGGG